UCAUUAGUCAGGAUCCAGAGUACCGCCGGACACGUGAAACCCGGUGGGAAACUGGGGGGACCACCCUCCAACCCUAAAUACUACCUGAUGACCGAUAGAGGAGCAGUACCGUGAGGGAAAGGUGAAAAGGACCCCGGGAGGGGAGUGAAACAGAACCUGAAACCUUGUGCUUACAAGCACUCAAAGCCCGUUAAUGGGUGAUGAGGUACCUUUUGUAGAAUGGUCCGGCGAGUUAUUGUUACUGGCGAGCUUAAGGUAUUCAGUACCGGAGGCGAAGGGAAACCGAGUGUUAAUAGCGCGCAUAAAGUCAGUGGCAAUAGACCCGAAACCGGGUGACCUAUCCAUGGGCAGGUUGAAGUGGGGGUAAAACCCCAUGGAGGACCGAACGCACGCCCGUUGCAAUGGUCGGCGAUGACCUGUGGAUAGCGGUGAAAUUCCAAUCGAACUCGGAGAUAGCUGGUUCUCCCCGAAAUAGCUUUAGGGCUAGCGUUAUCUUAGAUUACCGGAGGUAAAGCACUGAAUGGGCUAGGGGCCGAUAAGGUUACUGAACCCUAUCAAACUCUGAAUGCCGGAUAAUUGAUGGAUAGCAGUCAGUCUACGUGAGAUAAGUCUCGUGGACAAAAGGGAAACAGCCCAGACCCACAGCUAAGGUCCCAAAUGUAUGCUAAGUGGAAAACGAUGUGGAGUUGCGAAAACAACCAGGAUGUUGGCUUAGAAGCAGCCACUCAUUAAAAGAGUGCGUAAUAGCUCACUGGUCGAGUGACUCUGCGCGGAAAAUAUAACGGGGCUAAGCAUGCAACCGAAGCUUGGGCUGCGCAGCAAUGCGCGGGGUAGGGGAGCGUCGUGUACGGGGUGAAGUCGCAGCGGAAGCAGCGGUGGACUUUACACGAGUGAGAAUGCCGGAAUGAGUAGCGAGAAUUAUGUGGGAAUCAUAAUGGCCGAAAAUCUAAGGUUUCCUGGGGAAGGUUCGUCCGCCCAGGGUAAGCCGGGAGCUAAGGCGAGGCCGAAAGGCGUAGUCGAUGCACAUACGGUUGAAAUUCCGUAGCCACCGAACCUUAAGUACACUGACACAUGGAGAUAGCGGGACCCGGGCGUUGGUUGACCCGGGCGUAAGGGACCGAAAUAUAGUAGGGAAGUCCGCGAUGCUCUGUGGCGAGAAAAGGUGUAUGGUAUGCUAAGGUGCCCGUACCGCAAACCGACACAGGUAGAUGAGGAGAGAAUCCUAAGGCCAACGGGAGAAGGGUUGUUAAGGAACUCGGCAAAAUGACCCCGUAACUUCGGGAUAAGGGGAGCCUCCUACGGGAGGCCGCAGCGAAUAGGCCCAAGCGACUGUUUACCAAAAACACAGGUCUCUGCUAAAUCGAAAGAUGACGUAUAGGGGCUGACGCCUGCCCGGUGCUGGAAGGUUAAGAGGAGAGCUUAGCGCAAGCGAAGGUUUGAAUCGAAGCCCCAGUAAACGGCGGCCGUAACUAUAACGGUCCUAAGGUAGCGAAAUUCCUUGUCAGGUAAGUUCUGACCCGCACGAAUGGCGUAACGACUUGGGCACUGUCUCAACAGCCCACCCGGCGAAAUUGUUGUACUGGUGAAGAAGCCAGUUACCCGCAACUAGACGGAAAGACCCCAUGGAGCUUUACUGUAGCUUAAUACUGGAAUUCGGUAAAUCAUGUACAGGAUAGGUGGGAGGCUUGGAAGC
rnacentral:rRNA from 1 species